UACGGAGGAUGCAAGCGUUAUCCGGAAUUAUUGGGCGUAAAGCGUCCGCAGGUGGCCAUUCAAGUCUGUUGUCAAAGACAGUAGCUUAACUACUGGCAGGCAAUGGAAACUGUGUGGCUAGAGACCGGUAGGGGUAGAGGGAAUUCCCAGUGUAGCGGUGAAAUGCGUAGAGAUUGGGAAGAACACCAGUGGCGAAGGCGCUCUACUGGACCGGAACUGACACUAAGGGACGAAAGCUAGGGGAGCGAAAGGG
rnacentral:rRNA from 1 species